rnacentral:rRNA from 1 species
AUUGAACGCUGGCGGAAUGCUUUACACAUGCAAGUCGAACGGUAGAGGGGGCAACCCCUCGAGAGUGGCGAACGGGUGAGUAAUAUAUCGGAACGUGCCCAGUCGUGGGGGAUAACGUAGCGAAAGUUACGCUAAUACCGCAUACGAUCUAAGGAUGAAAGCGGGGGAUCGCAAGACCUCGCGCGAUUGGAGCGGCCGAUAUGAGAUUAGGUAGUUGGUGGGGUAAAGGCUCACCAAGCCAACGAUCUGUAGCUGGUCUGAGAGGACGACCAGCCACACUGGAACUGAGACACGGUCCAGACUCCUACGGGAGGCAGCAGUGGGGAAUUUUGGACAAUGGACGCAAGUCUGAUCCAGCCAUUCCGCGUGCAGGAUGAAGGCCCUCGGGUUGUAAACUGCUUUUGUACGGAACGAAAAGGUCUCUUAAUACGGGGGACUCAUGACGGUACCGUAAGAAUAAGCACCGGCUAACUACGUGCCAGCAGCCGCAGUAA